GCCCCCCUGGCUGAAUGGUAAAGCAGCUGCCUUGUAAGCAGUCGGUUCCGGUUCGAUUCCGGAGGGGGGCU
rnacentral:tRNA from 1 species